rnacentral:rRNA from 1 species
UGAGGAAUAUUGGUCAAUGGGCGGGAGCCUGAACCAGCCAAGCCGCGUGAGGGAUGAAGGCCCUAUGGGUCGUAAACCUCUUUUGUCAGGGAACAAAAGCGAGUAUGUAUACUAGUCUGAGUGUACCUGAAGAAAAAGCAUCGGCUAACUCCGUGCCAGCAGCCGCGGUAAUACGGAGGAUGCGAGCGUUAUCCGGAUUUAUUGGGUUUAAAGGGUGCGUAGGCGGCGAUGCAAGUCAGCGGUAAAAGCCCGGGGCUCAACCCCGGCGAGCCGUUGAAACUGCAGUGCUGGAGAAGGCGAGAGGUACGCGGAAUGCGCAGUGUAGCGGUGAAAUGCUUAGAUAUUGCGCAGAACUCCGAUUGCGAAGGCAGCGUACUGGCGCCUGACUGACGCUGAGGCACGAAAGCGUGGGGGAUCGAACAGGAUUAGAUACC